UACGGAAAAGAUGCAGUCGCCAUUUUGCAUCGUCGAUUUUUACGUCGUGUGUGUGCACUGCAGUUACUUUGCGAGUUGAAUUCUUACUACGUGGGCGUAAAACAUUUAGUGGCAUAUUUUUAUUAAUUUUUAAUUGGUAAAAGUUGAUAAGAGAAUAUGGGACGCAAAAAGAAGAAGCAAUCAAGACCCUGGUGUUGGUAUUGUAAUAGAGAAUUUGAAGAUGAAAAGAUUCUUAUACAACACCAGAAAGCAAAACAUUUCAAAUGCCACAUAUGUCAUAAGAAGCUUUAUACGGGACCAGGACUUAGUAUACAUUGUAUGCAGGUACAUAAGGAAGCGAUAGACAAGGUACCUAAUUCUUUGCCGAAUCGAAGCAAUAUUGAAAUAGAAAUUUAUGGUAUGGAAGGCAUACCACCAAAUGAUGCGAAAGAGCAUGAAAGACAAAGAAAUGGAGGUAGACCUGGUUCACCAAGUUCUGGUGAAGAUGAACCAGUUCGAAAAAAAGCAAAACCAGAAGGUUUAUUAGGUUCUGCACCAGGAGCAAUGCCUACAGGUUCCAACAUGAUGCCAGGUGUAAUGCCAGGUAUGGCAGCUCAUCCUGGUAUGCCACCAAUGGGAUCGUUCCCACCACCCAUGCAUCAUAUGAUGGGACCUAUGGGUCCUGUAGGUCCACCUUUCAUGGGUCCUGGUAUGAUGCCUGGAAUGCCGGGUAUGCCUCCAGGUAUACAACCACCAGUAUCUGGUGCAUCUAUACCACCAACACGACCAUUAUUUCCAAGUGCUGCAGCUGUUUCAACAACUGCGUCUACAUCUGUGACUUCUCCUUUGGGUACAGAUUUUAAACCAAUUACGUCAGUGGCUGGUGGAUCUAUAGGACCUGUGAAGCCAACAUUCCCUGCAUAUAGUAACACAGAUAGUAGUACCACUACUAACAAUAAUAUUGGUAGUGAUCAAAAAGUAAAUCUUAUAGCCACUACUAGUGCUGCCAUUAAAAUCAUUCAUCCGCCAGAAGAUCUCAGCCUAGAGGAAAUUAGAGCAAGACUUCCAAAAUACCAGCGGCGACAAACGCAAGAAACUCGAACUGUGCAAACUGCUGAUGCCAAUCAGCAAGCUGCUGUAUUACAACAGCAGCAGCAACAACAACAGCAACAGCAACAGCAACAACAAGCUGCUGUUGCUAAUGCAGCUGCUGCAUUUCAGGAUCAGCAACAGCGACAACAAGCGGCAUUAAAUGCACUUCAGCAGCAACAGCAGAGAUUUCAGCGACCUCCACAAGCAGUAAUGGUUCCUGCAUCUGCAGCAAUGCCUGUUAGUUCCGUUGCACUGAUGGCACCGCUUAUGCGGCCCACUAUGACCCUAGCUGCACCUGCUCUGAUUCAUGGAGGUAACAUGAUGCGACCGCCCCCCAUGGGCCUACCACCAGGGCGCCCAGUCACUCCUUGGUGAGUGUUGAACGAACCCAGUCUGGUUACUAAAACCGUGUAUUAUACAAACGCAACAAGGUGGGUCGAGCGGCCAACGAUAUUGCAUCUGUUCUGAUUCCUUCAACGCCGGACAGCAACACUUUAAUUUUGGACACACGACUCUUUGGACGUGAAAUGCCUCUUCUUGAAACUAGUGUACUCGGUAUCAGAAGCACGAUCACACUAGAUUUAUGGUUAAAAGCAGGCAUAUGUGUAUAAUAUACAUACAUAUACAUAUGCCUGCUUUUCAACUACGAUAGAGAAAUACGCGUUAUAUCUAUACAUAUAUAUUCAUCGAUCGGUAAAAGCAAUGUGAAAUUAAUUCGAUUUUCGGCCGCUCGGCUGGUUCAUCGUACAUACAAUUUUUUUUCUUUUCUGUUUCACUAGCUUCAUUAUUCACUAUCUCGACUUAACCAUAUUCUUCUUAGGACUCACUUGCCAUUAUCUCGCCACUCGUGUUUUAUCAUCUUACCUUCUCAUGUUUAUAUAUGAAAUCCUGGUGUUGUGAUAUAGUAGUGAAAAAACCGCUUUUUGGGCACGGUACUGACAGUCGUUCGAAGUUGUCAUUCUAAAUAAAAGAUAAGGAAAACAAGAAAGGGGGAAAAAGCAGAAAAAACAAAAAACUGAUGCAUAAUUUCGAUGAUAACUAUUCCUUCUUUUUUUAUAUUACUUCAAGGGCUUUAAAUUUUUUUAGUUUCAGAUUAAAAGUAAAAUAUAAAUUGCUACUUCGAUGGUUCUAUAUUAUUUAUUAUUUAUUAUUUAUUAUUAUAUCAGCACUGUUGAUAUUAACAAAUUUGUUCUUCUACAUUGUUUUUCACAAAAACUUCUCUUACCUUUCUUAACAAAUUUUUUAAAUGAAAUAGUAUAUUACAACAAAAAAAGACGAAGGAAGGGUUCAUUUGUUAUUGUCACUGUUUUUGUUGUUGUUGCGUGUAUUAUAAUAGAAAAGAGACGUAACAAGAACGAACGUAAUGUAUCUCCCUCACACCAUAGCCUACCUUUUGUGUCACAUAGAUGAUCUUAGAUAUUUCAAGUCAAGUUACAGUAAGUAAAUAAUUUCACGUUAUCCAAUAUAUACAAAAGUAUAACUCGUAUAUAAACCUAAAUGCAGCUAUUUCUUACACGUAUAUCAAAUGAUAGACGAUGAUGAGACAGUCUAAUUUAACAUUGACGAAUAAGGGGAUUACAAUUUUUUCGGAGUUAUAUCACGUAAGAGUGAAUACUAUUGAUAUUGUUGAAUGAAAUUAUAAGCAAAACAAAUUUCUGAAAAAUAGAAAUUUGAAUUUGAAUAAUACAAAAAGACUUAUUAUGUACAGGGUGUCUACGAAAUAUAGAAAAAAAUGUAAGAACGUUUUUUUAUUGUUCCUUUUUCGUAGAUUAUGAUGUAUAUAAUAAAUUUUUCGUUUAAAGUUUUCAAGCUUAUUUGGAGUUCGUUUUGCAUCUUUUAAAUGGACCGCCAUAUGCCAUACGAUAAAAGAGCAAAAAAGUCAAAUUCAAAACGCUUUCAUGUGGUUUUGUAUCAAUGCAAAGUCACAAUAGAGAUGAUACUGUAGAAACGGACAAGUUUUACUUUUUAUUUUACUUUGUUUCUGCACAAGAAUAACUAUUUGUUGUGACAUAUUUGCACAUGCACCCGUAAUUCGGUUCUUCAUAUUUUUCAUGUAUCCUCAAUAUAUCCUCACAAAAAAAAUCUAAGGUAUUAAGCCCGGUCAUCUCGCAGACCAAUUAUUGUGUUCCACUACAUCCAGUCCACAGCUUGGGAACUUGUGUAAGCUAGAUUCAUAAUUUUGAAGUGAUGCGAAUGUAACGAAUGUUGUCACAACAGAUUGGAAAUUAUUGUAAAAAUCUUUGGACCAGUUUGUAGUUACUUUCGCUUAAAGUAAAUGAUUUUCCACGUGUUAGAAUAAAUGUAUCCAGCGUAAAUAGUUGCUUUUCGUUUUCAAAGGUAAUACUGCUAUGUUUAGUAACUGAUGUGCAAAUUUUGUACGUACAAUGCAAACAAAGGGAGUAAAAGAUUAAAAAAACUCUAUCCUUGUCUGUUCCAACAUUUUCUCUAUUACGACCUUACAUUCAUUCAAGGUCAUUUGAAAGUAGCGUUUUGAAUUCGUUGUGUUUUACUCUUUUAUCAUAUGAAAACAGAAGUAUGACAUUCCACUUAAAAAAUGCAAAGUGUCGUUCAAAUAAUUUUGGAAAUUUUAAACGAAAGCUUGUUUAUUUAAAUCGUCAUAACCCAUGUGAAAAACAAUACAAAAAAUUUACAUCUUUUCAUGUCAUCUACCGUUUGAUUGUUAUUUCAAAUGGCAGAGAUUUGUAGAUUAGAUUGUUGAUAUAUAUAUAUAUAUAUAUAUAUAUAUAUAUAUAUAUAUAUAAAAUAUACAAAGUGAAAUAUACAACAUGCAUUCACAUUAUUACAAUUCUUUGAAAUUAAUAAAAAUCAUACUUAAAAUUACUGUAGAAAAGAAAAAUUAUCGUUUAAUAUCUAUUUUAUCAUCCUGUAUUUAUUCGUAGAUGCUCUUUUAUCAUAUCUAGUGCCUUGAAAGUUCGGCUGGCAGCCGAGCGAUUCGCUUAAAUUAUGAAAACUGUAAUCGUCAAGUGAAACUUCUCGUUUAUGGUGUGAGGUUUUACGUGGUAUUACUUUUGGGAUUUUGUUAUGACUUGUAUUGCAUAUGCGGCAUAUUGCAUGCUGAGCUCGAUUCCUCAUAUAGUUUGACCAUUUGCAUUAAUAAAAUGUUAGAUAGACGUAGAUGUGCUGCAAAUAAUAAACCCUUCUGGGUAUAUAAUGUAGUCCUAGAAAACUUGAGACUAUAUGAUUUGAUCAUUUUGCAAAAGAGUACGUAUCGGACAAAUACAAGUUGAUUCAAGGACAAUACCACUUGGUAUUUUGAACUCUCUUUCUUUUUGUUUUACCUUGGGUUCUAUUUUAAAAAUUUGUCUAGCAAUUUAACCUAAAUUUGAAUUUAUCGUCGAAAUCUUUUAAUUUAUUAAGAAAUUUGUUUGCGAAUGUUGUGCGAGGAAGUGCUAUCGACCGGCUGUCAGACAACUUUCCGUCCGGAAGGAUAACAAUUCUUCUAGAUUAAUUCAAAAUGCAUUGGAAGAAAUAAGAUUAGAACGUAUCGUAAUUAAUAUAUAUAUAAUUUUUAUUGAAAAAAGAACGUUAAUAAAUCGAUGGUUAAAUUUGAAAAUAUCUUUUACAAAUUUCGUAAAUAUCUUGCAAGAUAUAUUUUUCUACCGAAUAACGAGGCGCGAUCUCUAAAAAGAUAUCUGUAGAAAUAAAUAUAAAAUUUUGACCGAAUUUGAGAAAGAAGAUGGAGUAUAAAGAGAGGAGAAGAAUGUGUGCGUUCGUAACGUACGCGCAUGCGCGUGCGCUUACGCAUAUCUAUGCAUAUCAGAUACACAUGUAAUUUCAUUUUAUUUAUGUUUGACGAGUAUUCUCCCGACGUAAGUAUCAUAAGAAGAUUUUUACAGAUUGUUGAAAACCUGUGAUAUAAGAGAUGUAAAAAAAGGAAUGACAGAGAGAAAUGAUAGAAUUAUCAGGGAUACAUGAAAUUGACGGUGAAAUUGUCAUUUACAGGGAUGAUCGGAGCUUUGCCGCCAGGAGCGAUGCAUCCGGCAUUCGCAGCUCCAAUGGGGUUUCCUGGUGCACCAAUGUUAGCUCCGAUGAUGCAUCCACGCUUCAGAUGAUCACCUCCUAUGGACGGGCCCACUCCGCCAUUGCACUUCGUGCUCUGGGCCCGCCCCUAAAUUUUAUUAGGGUCCGGACCUGACUGAGAAGAAGAGACAAGCACGCGUAAAACACGUUAGCUCACGUGGGCACACUUCGUUGAUCGGCCGCGGCUGCACUUGACGCAUCCCCUCCUACGAAGUUUACACGAAGUUAGCAAAAUCUUUGUUUUUUUUUCUAAUAUCAUUAUAAACCACAUCACGUCAGUGCCUGAGAGGGUUUACCAGGUGCAGUGGAAACGGUCAGUCGUUCCUCUUCCAGACUUUCUCUGCCAGUAAAAAGUUAUCGAAUAACAAAUCUUUUUAACUUUUAUACAUGGUGUGUGGUCGUGCGCGUGAUAUCUGCGCAACGUCGUAACUUCUUCCCGAAGGAGUUUAAAAUCUCAGGUGAGCAACGACAUCUACUCUUUUUUUCUAUUAUGAAAAUAAUUUUGUUGUUUGUCUAGAAGGCAUCAAAUGUUUAAUCCUUCGGAUUACCUUUUUUAUGGAUACUUGUUGUUACAUUAUUUGAGUACCUGGUAUUGAAAUUGUAGUUAUUGAAAAGGAUGGGGUGGUACAAUGUUGUUAAUGGCUGUAUGAGCACGAAAGCUUCUGCGUAGAAAACUCGUACGCUACUAAUACAGAAACUUUAUCGUUGCAAAGUCACGUAUAAGGAAUUUUACGUUGCUCAUCGCGAUCGCGAUACGCGAUUGUGAAAUCAGUUCUGGAAGGUGUGUAGGCUUUCAGCUGAUUCGUCUAAGUAGAACGAACUUCUAUAAGAAUUGCGGCAGUCUUUUUAUUUUACGGUAGACCGUUUCCACGCGCUGUUUCUCAGUCUCUGCACCAGUGUUCUCUUGGAGAGACGCGAUCGCGGAAAGGUGGCGUUUCACACUGCAGCUGAGAAAAGGGGGGAGACAGAGAGAAAGUGAGAGAGUGGGCGCGUGUGUGUAUGCGCGCGAGAGAGAGAGAAAGAGGGAGAGAGAUUGCUUGAUUCAAAUAUUUCAAUACAUUUUUUUUUUUUUUUUUUUUUUUAAACCAAAAUCCAAUUUUAUCCGUUUUACUAAGUGUGUGUUAUGUACAUAUGUGUACAUAUGUGUACAUAUGUGUACAUAUGUGUACAUACGUGCGCGCGCGCGCGCGCGCACGCAAACACACACACACACACACUAACCGUGUGCAGCUCUUGAUUUCUAUAUGCUUUGUAACACAUCAAUUGUCUUAUUUGAUUUCCGUGUUUCAAGAAUAUUAGAAGAUACAAGCCGCAGUGUGAAUAUUCUGUCGCCUCAGGUUAGUUUAUCACAACUUUUAUUUUGUUAACGCCCCAGAUCGAAUCGAUUUACUUUUUCGAUAUAAGUUCAUUCAUAUAUUCUUUGUUUACAUUUUUUUAUGAUGUCUUUAUUCGUUUCUUUCGUGUUUUGUUUACUUGUAAUAAUGAAUUUUCAUAAGAUAUCUUAUUUUCACGAGAAGGAUAUAUAGAUUUUCGUUAUAUUUGGCAACAAAUGCAUAUAUGUGCGUAUGCCACAGUAUCACCUAGCUUGCAUAUUUUAGAUAUUUCCAUCGUUAUUAACUACAUAAGAAAUAUUUAUAUACUAGAUUGACCGAGAUGAGGGAGCAAUUACAACUAUAAAAUUUUGUUUAAAAUCUUUUCCUCGAGAUUUCAAAGAAUUAUUAGUAUUUUUUUAAAACACUGCUAUAUCUUUUUACUUGUAUAUUUGUAAAGGUAAUGAAAAGAUACAAGCUGAUUUAUGAAUAAUACUGAAUAAUAACGAAAGAAUAACAUUUUAAAAUCCGUUGCAUCUAUCGUAAUAUUUAAAUAAAAAUAAUAACUUAAGAAAAUAAUUUAUUUCUAAUAUGAAAAAGUGCAUAGAACUAAUAGUUGUUUUAAAUAUCUGUACUUUAAUAUUUUAAAAUAGCAAAAAGCAAAAAUUUAUAAUUAAAUUAAUUUUAUUUAUAAAUUAAUUUAUUAAAAUAUUUAUUUGUUUCAAAAUAAUAUGUAAUCCAGAAAUUAAUAGUUGAAAUCUCGGAAGAUUGGGUUUAAACAAAGAUUGUUGUAACAUUUGUUCGUGCAAACUGGAAAUCUGAAUUGUUUUCUCAGAGAAUCAGCAAAGACAGAAGCAAAUAUUCUAAGAAUUAACGCGGUUGACUUUUUAUAUUUUUAUAUAUAGAUAUCUAUCUCUACACAUUGUUACACAUUUUUACACAUUUUUGAACAAAAUUCAAUCAUCUUUUAUGGUUUUAUUUUUGAUUUAUUAAAUUUCUUAUACCUAACGAGUUAUUUUCUCUUAUCUUUUUGUAAAAGUUGUUAUAGAAGUAGAAAUUAAAAUUAAAAUGAAUUCUUGUUUACAUACUCUAACGUUGAUUGAACAAAUAAUUUUACCUUGUUGUUUAAAUAAUAUGUACUUCUAUCUAGAAACUUUAGAUAAAUUCAUUUGUUGUCAUCUUUUACAAAAAUAACGUAUAAUUUGAUAUUUUAUUACUUAAAUCUUCUCCCUUCCAAGAAGUGAAAAAUAUGAUAAAAUGAAAUUAUAUAUUUCGAAUCCGUGAUAAUGAAAUCAAUUUUUUCUUUCCGGUUUAUAUUUCAUUAUUUCAUUUGUUAACAUACAUAGAAACAGUAUACUAUUUCUAUAUUACAGAAAAUAUUUUUGAUUCUUCUUUAUAAAGUCAUGCGUAAAUCUUUUACUGAAAUAAAGUUCGACGAUUUAAUGACAUUACUUUUAAAUUGUUCCGUUAUAGCAAUCCGAAAUUGAUUAUAUGAAUUGAAUUACGAGAUAUGAUCGAAGAAACCGUAAUGAGAUAUUAUUACAUUGUGACGUUUGCAUGUUGAGAAGAAAACGAAAUGAUAAAAAGUUGAUCGUUAUUCAGAUGUAAAAUAUUUGCUUCUGUCGUUUUGGUUUCAUUCAGAAUAGAAUUAUAAGUGACUGGUUAACAUGUUCAUGACGUAACUUGUAGUUAGCAAGUAAUAUUACGGGAUGAUUAUCUCUCGAAGUUUGUGCAAUUUAAAUUAUGAUAAUGUUUAAAUUAUGAUUGUAAUUUGUUGGUCCCGACAAGAAGUAGAAGUGAUCGAUUCGAUCUGUGAAGCCCUCUUCCUUUGCAAGGAACGUGUUGGCAACACAUGAGUGAGUGGUAAGUACAGAGGGUGCUCAGGGAAACCGAUAUCAGCUCCCUCUACACUCGACUCAUACUGGUUUUUUUUUUACUUUACCCUAGGCCAAAUUACCGAUGUUCCGAUCGUCGAGUAUUUAUAGUUGUUUCGACAUUGUUAUUUAUACAUAUGUGUAUAGAAACAGUGAUUUCAGUGAUUCAGCAGGUAUAUAUAUUAGUAAUCAAAUGUAUUAGUGUUGAGUUUCGUUCUAAACAACAAACUCUCUACGAUCGGAUAAGACUCGAUUAAUCGGAAAAAUUCCUAUUUUCUCUCUUUGUCUCUUCCACAUUAUUAUUAUUAUUAUUAUUAUUUCUUUAUUUUCUCUUUUAUCAUUUUAUUAUUUCUUCAGGGUGUCUAUUGAUAGGAAAACGAAACCAUCUUUAUGCAAAACCAUUGUAGAUAUAUUUAAGUUAGUAUAUUACAAUCUUAAUAACGAUAACUUGCGAUAAAUUAUGAGACGAGAAAAAGGAAAAAUAUGUUAUUUGUGGAAUUAGAUAGUAUCGUAGGUUGGCGGUGAUUGGAUCUUUAUUUACGAAGAUUUUAAUCGCCACAGCUUGAACUUUUUAUACGUUUCAUGCUUUCAGAGAAACGGAAAUCGGGCACGUAAACGUAUUACGAAAGUGUGGCGAAGACGGUGCAAGAGGAGGCUGCAAACUAAAGCCAUGGGGGAGAUAUUUUCUCCUUACUGUAUGUUGACGAUAAUAGAGAUUAUGAAUUAUUGUACAAAGUUAAUUGUAAUUCAGUUGGUUUGACUGUGAAAAUACGAAUUCGUCUAAAUCACUUUUUUCACUUCCUAAAGGUUCAUCACCUCAGUAGGCACCCUGUUUGUCUAUUCUUUCUCUCGACUUCUAUCAUUACUUCGAGAAAAAUUAUGAAACAGCAUACCGCGCCGUACAACACGUGUACGUACCUAAAACAACUACGCAUCGUUAUGAAUAUACUUCAUUUUCAGGGGUUGUCUUUCCGAAUCGUGUCUUUCCGCUCUGCUGUCGUUUCAUCGGAAUCAGAGGUGAUCUACCGUGUCUACUUUUAACAGGCCGAUAGAAUUCAGUGCUGCGGAAACACUCCCAGCCUCGAAAAUCGCUUCUCGUCUCUCGAGGCUGUUCAACUACGGCCAGACAUUGUUUCUUUCAUUUCGUUUUGAUUGUGAGAUUCGGCAGGACAAUCUGACGACAGAAUUGGACAUGUAGAAGUUCUGUUAUUUAUUGAGUGUCACAUUAUCAACUUGUUCCGAAUAAAGACGUUCUGUGGAAA